rnacentral:rRNA from 1 species
GAUUUGGAGGUUGUGCCCUUGAGGCAGUGGCUUCCGGAGCUAACGCGUUAAAAUCGACCGCCUGGGGAGUACGGCCGCAAGGUUAAAACUCAAAUGAAUUGACGGGGGCCCGCACAAGCGGUGGAGCAUGUGGUUUAAUUCGAUGCAACGCGAAGAACCUUACCUGGUCUUGACAUCCACAGAACUUAGCAGAGAUGGUUUGGUGCCUUCGGGAACUGUGAGACAGGUGCUGCAUGGCUGUCGUCAGCUCGUGUUGUGAAAUGUUGGGUUAAGUCCCGCAACGAGCGCAACCCUUAUCCUUUGUUGCCAGCGGUUCGGCCGGGAACUCAAAGGAGACUGCCAGUGAUAAACUGGAGGAAGGUGGGGAUGACGUCAAGUCAUCAUGGCCCUUACGACCAGGGCUACACACGUGCUACAAUGGCAUAUACAAAGAGAAGCGACCUCGCGAGAGCAAGCGGACCUCAUAAAGUAUGUCGUAGUCCGGAUUGGAGUCUGCAACUCGACUCCAUGAAGUCGGAAUCGCUAGUAAUCGUAGAUCAGAAUGCUACGGUGAAUACGUUCCCGGGCCUUGUACACACCGCCCGUCACACCAUGGGAGUGGGUUGCAAAAGAAGUAGGUAGCUAACCUUCGGGAGGGCGCUUACC